rnacentral:lncRNA from 1 species
ACUCCUACAUUUGUACAUCACAGAGUCUUCACAUUUCACUUGAGAUACAAACAUCACAUAGUUCAACCACUUAGUAUCAUGAUUGUGUUUGUAACACCUCAUAUGCAAUGCAUGGUACAAAUAGUCCAGAACAAUACUACAAUACAUAAUUCAAAUAGUCCGUGACAUUAGUCCAUUAAAUAAUUAAAAUAGUUCAUGAUACAAGUCCAUUACAUGAAUCAAAUACUAACGGAUGAAGGUUCAUUCCAUUACUACUCUGAAUCAACAUCGAACAACAGCUCAUCAACAACCCAAACGUCCUCCACAUCGUGGUCCAAGUCUAUUGCGAUGUCCUUCCCCUUGUCCUUGCCCUUAGCCUCCAUAUCCUACGCCUUGCCAUUGCCCUUGGUGUUAUAGGAAACAUCCAUAGGUAAGUCACACACAAGUGCCUUUAUUGCCUCCAUUUGCGCCUCCCUUGCUAUAUCUUACAUUUCCUCCCUACUAUUGGUAGCCACUUUGUCCGUCGUAUCUUUAGACUUGUCAUCUUUAGGAAACUCACCAACAAGUGCCUUCAUUGUCUACAACUGUGCCAACUUUGCAACUAUUCUAGCCUCCUUCAAAUCGAUCCCUCUUUUGUUCGCCGCCAACAGUUGGAAAUACUCUUCCAUUGACCCUUUAGGAAAGAUCCUCGUUGGAUCAAACUAAUUCCAAUCACGAAGCCACCUCUCCCUCCUCAUACGCUUGUUGUCCUUCCUCUCCUUCCUCACCUCCUCCUCCUCCUUCAUUCUCUUCCUCAUCCUCUCAUCUGCAUUGAGGGGCCAUGGAUACUUGCUUCUAUUCCUCCUCCAAUAUUAAAUGAGGUCCUCUCGAACCGCCUCCCCAAUUAAAACACUUGACCAUCCUUUCUCUUAAUGAAUCUUAUCUUUGCAAAUUUAACCAAACAACUCAUUAUACGAUGGAAUAGGCACAUCGUGCUCCUCCCUUAUUUCAUUUUUCCUCUUUAGUGUUUCUUCGGUUUUCAAACGUUCAGAACAGCGCCCCAAACGUAGGCAGAGUUGUUCCCUACCUGGAAAGGUCUCCCAAUCACAAGUCCUCCCCUCC